rnacentral:snoRNA from 1 species
GCUGCACACCGUUAAAGCUCAGAGUGAGACCAGCGUCUUGUCAAUGAACUGUUGAGUGUCGGAGGUGUGCUACAAUAAAUGCUGGCAGGAUUUUCGCUAACACCAAUAGAGUUCUGCUCUGUGACUGGAGUUUGAUAGUAGUCACUGCCACAUGC